rnacentral:misc_RNA from 1 species
ACUAAAUUUACCUAACCACAUGUUAAAACUCUGCCUCUAUCAGCAUCUUUGUACACUGUCCAUGCACCCCCAACGUAAUGCUUAAACCGUCCCAUCCUUUCUUAUAAUCCUUCCUCUCUCCACUCCUCUUUCAAACUUCAAAGCUAGAAAUUAACUUCUCCAUGAAAUCUCAAAGGCUUUUCAUGGCGCUUCUUCUUUUCUUGACUUUAUUUGCAGUUCCAAGUGGUGCUAGUGUGACCAACAAGCUUGACCAAACAUUGGCGCCACAAAAACCAGAUACUGAAAUAAAGUGUGGAUCAUGCCCUUGUGUCAACCCAUGU